CCUACGGGAGGCAGCAGUGAGGAAUAUUGGUCAAUGGGCGGAAGCCUGAACCAGCCAAGUCGCGUGAGGGAGUAAGGCCCUACGGGUCGUAAACCUCUUUUGCCGGGGAGCAGUGCCCAGCUCGUGAGCUGGGAGGGAGCGUACCCGGAGAAAAAGCAUCGGCUAACUCCGUGCCAGCAGCCGCGGUAAUACGGAGGAUGCGAGCGUUAUCCGGAUUUAUUGGGUUUAAAGGGUGCGUAGGCGGGCCUUCAGGCCGGCGGGAAAUGUGCGGGGCUCAACCCCGCCGAGCCGUCGGAACCGGGGGGCUUGAGUACCGGAGAAGCACGCGGAAUGCGGGGUGUAGCGGUGAAAUGCAUAGAUAUGACGCAGAACCCCGAUUGCGAAGGCAGCGUACCGGCGGGGCACUGACGCUGAGGCACGAAAGCGCGGGUAUCGAACAGGAUUAGAUACCCGAGUAGUC
rnacentral:rRNA from 1 species